UACGUAGGGACCGAGCGUUGUCCGGAUUCAUUGGGCGUAAAGAGCUCGUAGGCGGCCACUCAAGUCGAAUGUGAAACCUCGAGGCUUAACCUCGAGCCUGCAUUCGAUACUGGGCGGCUAGAGUCUGGUAGGGGGAUCUGGAAUUCCUGGUGUAGCGGUGGAAAUGCGCAGAUAUCAGGAAGAACACCAAUGGCGAAGGCAGCU
rnacentral:rRNA from 1 species